rnacentral:hammerhead_ribozyme from 1 species
GUCCAGCUGAUGAGUCCCAAACAGGACGAACUGUGAGUCCCGGAU